UACGAAGGGGACUAGCGUUGUUCGGAAUGACUGGGCGUAAAGGGCGCGUAGGCGGCUCAUACAGUCAGAUGUGAAAUUCCUGGGCUUAACCUGGGGGCUGCAUUUGAUACGUGUGGGCUUGAGUGGGGAAGAGGGUCGUGGAAUUCCCAGUGUAGAGGUGAAAUUCGUAGAUAUUGGGAAGAACACCGGUGGCGAAGGCGGCGACCUGGUCCUUGACUGACGCUGAGGCGCGAAAGCGUGGGGAGCAAACAGG
rnacentral:rRNA from 1 species